CCUACGGGGGGCAGCAGUGGGGAAUAUUGCACAAUGGGGGAAACCCUGAUGCAGCGACGCCGCGUGAGUGAAGAAGUAAUUCGUUAUGUAAAGCUCUAUCAGCAGGGAAGAAAAUGACGGUACCUGAGUAAGAAGCCCCGGCUAACUACGUGCCAGCAGCCGCGGUAAUACGUAGGGAGCAAGCGUUAUCCGGAAUUAUUGGGUGUAAAGGGUGCGUAGACGGGACAGCAAGUUAGUUGUGAAAGCCCUCGGCUUAACUGAGGAACUGCAACUA
rnacentral:rRNA from 1 species